UAUGGACUAUUAUUUUUUUUUUGACAAAGAAAAAUAUGGACUAUUAUUGCAUAUGGACCUCAUGUAAUUUAACGUUUUAUACAAAUUAUUACUCAUGAUAAAGCCCUUGACGAACAAACUGAGUUCCACAAAUUCAGUGAGUCUUUUUUUUGUCUUUCAUAAGUCAUGACUAUUUUGGUUUUCCAGUUAGGUAAUUUAACCCAAGGGUGUAAAACUAUAAUGUUUUCUUGGGUUCGUAAUAUUUUUUGGAUGUUCGAUUAAAGAAUACAAAAUCACAAAGGUAAUACUGAACAUAAAACAUCGCUUUAGAAAAAAAAAUCCGAUUGGUUUUCGUUCAUAUAUAGUAAACCAAACUAAUUCUAACCUUUAAAACUAAAUUAGUUAGUUCAUAUAUAUUAAACCAUUGACGCAAUUAAAUCCUAAAAAUCCCUACUUGUUCGCUUCCAAUUCAAAAUUUUGGAAAGCAUUAUAUGCAAUGUAUCAAAAAAUAGACAACAAUAUUGACCAUUAUAUUUGACCAUAAACUUAAGCGGAUCACAUUGAUUAAAUUGACUAAUUAUUUUUAUGUCAACAUUUAUGAUGAUUUCUUAAUCAAAAAGUAUUGGUGCUUAAUUUAAGGGAUUGCAUGCAACUUGAAAUGAAUUUCUGUUUUGAACGUAUUGGACAAUCAGUCAAGAUUUCGUUUACAAUAUAAAUCUUAUAGUCCCAAAUGACAUGUUCUUUAUACGCCAUAUAACUCCUAACUUAGUGAGUCACAUAUCAAAUAAAACGAAAAAAGAGUAUGUUAUUAUUAAAUUAUGAAAGUCUAGAUAUUAAUCUAUAUUGAUAUGUGAUUCAUAUAUGUGUCAUAAUUAAAUUGACACUAUAUAAAAGUAAUAAAACAAAGACACGACACAUUAUCCACAUUCACAUAAUACAUGCUAUGUAGGAAGAUCACAUAAUACAUGUUAUGUAGAAACACCUAGGGGUUAUCCACAUUCACAUAAUACAUGCUAUGUAGGAAGAUCACAUAAUACAUGUUAUGUAGGAACACCUAAGGGGUGUAUUCAGUAUAAAAUUUGAGGUGAUUUGAUUUUUAAUGAAGUUUUAGAUAAUUUUAAAGAAUUGCAGAGAAUAAAAUGAUUUUUGUUAAACCACUUUAGAAUAUCACCUAAAACCAUGAGAUUUGAGUUUUAAUUUUUUUAACUAAGAAACUCCACCCGAACACUCUAAAAUCACUUGAAAACUUUAAAACUCCACAACUUAAAAUAUUUUCAAUAACAGUGGAUUUCAUAAUACUUUAUAAAAUAUCAAGUUCAAUAACACUGGAUUUUAAAUGAGUUUUUAAAAUUCGUGUUUCAAUAACAGUGAAUUUGUCAUUUUGACACAAAUAACUUAAAACUCUCAAUUGAAUACACUUCCUAGAGUUAUUUAUUUUAGGAUAAAGCCUCUCUCUCUGGAGAGAGAAAAAUCUCUCUGCACCUCUUACCCAUCAAAAAUCAUUCAGAGGGGGGAGAGAUUAAUUAGAGGCUUUUUUGUUUGUAUUAUAUUCGAUCUUUGAUCGAUCUUUGAUCGAUCUUUUUAUUCCGUUAGCGGACCUUUCGUUUCGAUCUCUAGAUUGAUCUUGUUUUUCCUGUUAGCGGAUUUCUCUUCCCUUGGGGAUUUUGGAGUGUCUCAAUCUCAAUUUCAAAGUGGAUCUUCAUGUUCUAUCUUUCUUUGAUUUGGGAUUGAUUAAUAAUCUAUCUAUCUAUCUUCACCUUGUCCUCUGGUUCUUAGUUUUUAAAUCCCGUUUGAUAUUGAGAAAGGAUUGUUUUUUCUCUGGUUAUUCUCGGGGCCGGAAUUUGAAAAGAAUCAAUCUUUAUCUUCUGAUAAAAUUGGCUGGUUGGCCUUUGGGCAGAGUAUCUUAUCAGAUCUGGUCCUUGAGUUAUUUGAUUUAGCAAGAGAAUUUUGGAAGACUCAGUAGAGUUGAAGCUUUUCAUAUAGAAAAGUGUUUUAACGAAGUUUUUUUCAAAAAUUCUUCUCAGAAGCUUGUCACCGUUUUACACAUCUGGAGAAAAACAUGAAAUUUUUUAGUAUCUAUGGUUAUUGGAGGGGGAAGGUUACGAUGCAAUUGGACUAAGCUGGUGAAUCCUUGCCAUGUUUCAGAAUUUUUUUUUUUCUUUUUUUUUUUUGUUUUUGCUUCUAGUCGGAGAAGAAGAGCGGCGACCAUAGCAUUAUAUAAUAUAAUUAUUUUGUAUAUAGUUAUAUACAUAAUAUAAUUAUUUUUUUUGACACACAGUACGACCAUAUCAACUAUAUACUAUAAUUAUUUUGUAUAUAUUUAUAUAACUAUAUAAUUUAGUUUAUAUAUGUGCGGCUUAUGUAGACAUUGUAAACAUGUUUUAGAAACAUAACCAUGAUAAAGAAUCGUUGAGGCAUCUAACGAUUACAAAUGUCUCCUAACGUUGGUCUAUAACAAUGGCAAUACAUAUAAUUAUGCCGGUGAAAAUAGGGUUAUUAGUUAAAAGUGCGAGAAGAAUUCUUGUAAUGACACGAAUGAAAUGACAUUUUGGUUAAUAACACAUGAGGAUAAGAUUAGUUUGUAGGAAUGCUCAUCUUUUAAUAAAAAGGAAAUAUGGAUAAAAUUGGCUUAUUGGAAGGAUUUGAGAGAGUAUCAAAUUUUCAUAUUAUAUUUAGAAUUUAUAAAAAUGAUAUAAAAUUCAAGUUUAUUGAUCUAAUCAUUUAUAUAGCUUUUCAAAAUAUCACCUCCUGUGGUAGUAUAUGAAUUUUAAAUAGACUAUUCAGUUCUUUUUAUUUGAUCACCAAAUAAAUUACUGAAAGAAGAAAAUACAAAUAAUACAUGGAUUAAUUCUUAAGUUAUUAUAUAUUUUAUAAAAUAAUAUAUGUAUAUAUAUAUAUAAUUAAAAUAAUAUUUUAAAGGAUAAAUAUUAUUUAAAUAAUCUCUUAAUGUUAAAAUGUAACUUUAAAUGACUUUAAAGUUUAGAACAGUAAUUUUACAAAACUACUCAAUUUUCAUAUUUCAUUGAAUUUAUUAUGUAUUCAAAUUCUCAACUCCCUGGUCCAAAUAAUUAAUGCUAAGUUCUCAUAUUUAGAUCUCCUUUUGUUAUUAAAUUCAUAUAUGUUACCAAAUUUAGGUAAACUAGUUACAUAAUGCAUUUGCAAAAAGUCGUUUUAUGUAAGAAAAUCGGUCAAAGAAAUAAAAGUAAUAAAGACCAUAUCUUCUUUUUUUUUGUCAGACUAAAGACCAUUUCUUUUUGAACAUAAUUAACACCAUAUUUUCCUUAUGUGUUUAUAUAUUCAUACAUUCUUCUUAAUCAUAUAUGCACAUAAGAAAAAGUUUAAUAAAUAUGAAUAUGAAGAAAUGCAUUUUAUUGAUGAUGAUGGUAUCAAUAAUAAUUGUGACCAUGGAAAGAAAAGUAGAAGGAAAUUCAUGCAUGGAUAAAUGUUUGUUCUUGUGCGGAUUUUUCUUUCAAGAUCCAGUAGCAUGUGGAGACAAAUGUGAGCUCGAAUGCCAUCCACCUCUUUCAUCUCAAUCAUCACAGAUGGAGACUAUAGGAAUGAGAAACAUAAGAGGAUAAAUAUAUCAAGCAAAUAAUUAUGAUAUUUGUAAGAACGUUUUUUAUUUACGCUCGCUAUGUUCCUAACUCUAUACACACAUGAAUGUUCAAAAAAAAAAAAAAACUCUAUACAUUAAUAAAAGGACAGUGUGGUGAUAAUGGA